rnacentral:misc_RNA from 1 species
ACAUGAGCAUCAUGCCCGCAUGCGUGCAUCUUUCCGGGGAUCUUGCUCUUGUGCUCCCACUCCACACUCUCCUGCAUCGGUAAGGCGUCCAUGUCGGCCCUUAGGGCAACAAACGGGGGCUCACCGGUGCCGAUGAAGCCGAUCACGCCGGUGACGGCGACGGGAUGCUUGUAGGACACACCCAACCGAUCUAGCUCCUUCCUGAUGAGCUGGCUGGUCUCGAAUUCCUCGAACCCUAGCUCGGGAUUCUCGUGGAUCUUGCGGCGCACACCGAUCAUCCAGUCUAAAAAGUCCGGCUCCUGAGCUCGCCGGAGGAAUCCGGCGGCGCCGGCGGAGGGCGCCGCUGCCGAUACCGGCGGCACCGCCGCAUGGAGGAGAUGGAGGACAAGGGUUACGGAGGCG